UGAAGAGUCGGACCUGCCCGGUGAUGAAUAUUUUAACGGCCGCGGUAUCCUGACCGUGCGAAGGUAGCAUAAUAAUUUGCUCUAUAAUUGAGGGCUGGUAUGAAUGGUUUGACGUGAGCAAUACUGUCUCUAUAUUGAUUUUUUAGAAUUUGAUUUUUAGGUGAAGAAACCUAAAUACUAUUAAAAGACAAGAAGACCCUAUUGAGCUUUAAAAAAUUUAAUGGGAUUAUUGUUAGUUAAUUUAUAAACUUUGGCCAUUAAACAUUUUGGUUGGGGCGACUAAGGAACAAAUAAAGCUUCUUAUAUAAUAAAAUUUCACAGAUGUUGAUCCAAAAUUUUUGAUUAAAGAAAUUAGUUACCAUAGGGAUAACAGCAUAAUUCUCUUUAAGAGUUCAUAUCGAAAAGAGAGUUUGUGACCUCGAUGUUGGACUAGAAUAUCCUAAAGAUGUAGCAGUCUUUAAGGGUUGGUC
rnacentral:rRNA from 1 species